rnacentral:misc_RNA from 1 species
AUUAGAAGAUGGAACAGAACUUAUUGACAGUGCAUAACUUCCUAUUGCAGUCUGCUAUGUAUCUUGAUAGCCAUUGGAUUCCAAAAAGCUCGUUUCAGUUGUCCACAUUCAUUAGUCUGCUAUGUAUCUUCAUAAAAGCCAUGGUAAAAUAUUAUAUGCUUUCUCUUUUUAAUGGGUCCAACUACUACUUUGGAAAAGUAUGCUCAAUAUCAUGAUUACUGUUGUUUUGACAUUUAGCUUAAAGUUAAAAAA